AAAACCCUAAAGUCAGCUUGUUCACGUUAAUGAUUUUCAAGUUUCUUCAAUCCAGUACAUGGAUCGGGACAACAAGAAAAUAUUAGAACUGUCCACCAUUUUUAAAUAUAAUCUUUUGUGGCUAUAAAAAAAUGGUUUUAAUUUCAUAAAAUUAUUUAUUUAAAUAUAAGGAAUGAAAACAUGGUAUGCUGAUCUGGGGUGAAAGACAUCAAUAAAUGCAAUCAAAACCAACGUUGUUACUACUUGUUAGUAUUAUUAUCCCUAACAGCAGUAAGAAAUAUGGUGGAGAGACGGCGGGAGCUGACGUUUCACACUUCCCGCUGUUGUUGGUGGGUGGGUACGCGCACUUGAUUUUUGCCUCAUCACGACUAUCCAUACCGGCCGCUGUGAUGCUGUGCUGGGAAUUUCAAAGGAGGAAGUGUCGACAAUGUCUGGUUCUCACAGAAGGAGAAGGAGAACUGGAGAAGUAGGAGUAAAGAAGCUCUUUAAGCUUGACUCCUUAAUCGCAAAAUCGCACGCAUUGUUCUUCUUGUAUCCAUCCAAUCACAAGAUUUUACAGAGUGCUGCGUCUCUCGGAGCCAUGGUUAGUUUUGCCCUUUCUAUAAUUUUUACAUGGAGGUUCUUGAGAGCAAGAAAACUCAUCAUCAUCAAGAAUUAGGAUCUGUGUCAGUUAUCCACUUCUUCAAAGCUCCCGCUGCAAUAAACUGUGCAAACGAAAUUAAAUGGUGGUCGGAAGAUGACUUGUUGAUUACUGGGAGUUAUUCUUGAAGAAAGCAGUCCUGAUGACUUCAGGAUCAGGUAACUGUCAGGGAAUCUGUGGUGGAUGUGCUGUCGGAAAUAAGUAAAUAUUGUGAUAUCUAUCUUAUGGAAAGAACUCUUGAUGAUGAAAGUGAGGUCCUAUUUUAUAGCAUGGAGAAGAACGCAUAUCUUCUUUUGUGCGUCAAUUGGAGCCAGAUUGGUGUUUGGAAACAAAUCUAGAUAUUCUUUUUCAGUUAGCUAAACUUGCUGACAUCGGCUUUACAUUUCAGCCAUUGGAUCAGGUAUUGCCUCAGGAUCCAACAUAAUUACCUCAACAAGUAUUGAAUCCUACUUUCUGAUGACUUUUGCUUAGAUUGUAAAUCUUCAAAUACUAACUCCUAUGUAAGGAAAAAAAACAUUGAGAAAAGAAGGGAAAUGAAUGAGAGAUUGGAAUAUUUUUUUUCA